rnacentral:rRNA from 1 species
CCUACGGGAGGCAGCAGUGGGGAAUAUUGGGCAAUGGGCGCAAGCCUGACCCAGCAACGCCGCGUGAAGGAAGAAGGCUUUCGGGUUGUAAACUUCUUUUCUCAGGGACGAAGCAAGUGACGGUACCUGAGGAAUAAGCCACGGCUAACUACUUGCCAGCAGCCGCGGUAAUACGUAGGUGGCAAGCGUUAUCCGGAUUUACUGGGUGUAAAGGGAGUGUAGGCGGGACUGCAAGUCAGAUGUGAAAACCAUGGGCUCAACCUAUAGCCUGCAUUUGAAACUGUAGUUCUUGAGUACUGGAGAGGCAGACGGAAUUCCUAGUGUAGCGGUGAAACGCGUAGAUAUUAGGAGGAACACCAGUUGCGAAGGCGGUCUGCUGGACAGCAACUGACGCUGAGGCGCGAAAGCGUGGGGAGCAAACAGGAUUAGAUACCCCUGUAGUC